AUGAAGAAAAGGAGGCUCAGAUAGUUUAAGAAACUUACCCUCCUCACACCAUGGAUAACAGGCAGAGCCAAAAGCAAAUGCAUCAAAAUCUCCAGGCCACACUCUGCAAUAAAAACUCAGCAAGUUUAGAGGAUACAGCAUGAAGCUUCCCAGAUGGCCAGAAGUUCUGCUGAUGGUACUAAAAUUCAGGAGCCUCAUCUAGCAUCCCAGGCAGGUGUGUCUAUUCAGUGAAUAGGAAGCUGGAAAUGUUUCCUUCGAGGAUGGCUUCUCUUC
rnacentral:lncRNA from 1 species